UUCGCCGUGUGUUUCGAGCGAUCCACCGGUGUCGUCAGUGAGUGCCCUAGUACAGCGCCCGUCCGAGCUGCCUUUGUUCUGCCGAGCUGCCUGCCCGCGCUCUCGUGAAAAGUCUGGUACUGGAGCUUCGAAUUGUAGUGUUUGGAAGACUGUUGAAGGUUGUGCUUUUGUGGAGCUGGAGUUCAUCGGAAGUUCUACAGUGCUUGCGCCAGAGAAACGUCGGUGCCUCUGUACCUGUUAGACGAAGGAGCGUUUGCCAAGUCUUGAAAGGUAGACAUCGGUGACGGUGUAUACGUUGAAAAGGGCCUGCUGAAGAGACUGUGCCUGGAUGCUUACAACUCAGGCUUUCACUUCGCGGAGGGCCUCCUUAAAGCUCCUUUUUCAAUAGAAGACGUUGAAGGGAGGUCCUUCUUUGGGCGGCUGUCAAAUGCCUUCCACAGAAGGAUCCGUUGGAUUCCAAGAAGGUCAACACCAUAGUAGACUACACAACGCAACAUUUCAGCCUACUUCCAGGGCAGCUGGAGAACUCGUCCUCCUUACUAGCCCGGGGAUAUUAAAUGGAUGUGUUCAAGCACAAA
rnacentral:lncRNA from 1 species